UUUUUUAUCAACUUUAUGUGUGGGUGAAGAAGAUGACGGUUCAAGUUGCUUCUCCUUGCUUCCUUCUUCUUCUACUUGGCCUCUUUUGUGUAUGUCUCUUUGCCUCUUCUCUCUGGUUGCCUUCUCUUUUUUACUAUUUUUGGCUUGUAAGGGUAGUGAAAAUUAGGUUAAGUUACCUAACUUGGUUGGGCUAGGGAAAAAAAAAACCCCAUUUACCGCAACCCUUCAAGAUCUGAUUAAAAAAAAAAAUACCCUGAUCAAAAUGAGGUAUUUACAAUUCAUGACCCAAAAUCUUACUUGAUGGGAUGACUUGACCAAGGUAUUUUUUUAUUUUUUUAAAAUGCAAAAAUCAGAUUUUGAGGGGUUGUGGUAAAUAUUUUUUUUCCCUAGCCCAACCAAGUUAGGGUAACUUAACCCUAAUUUUCAUUACCCUUACAAGUCAAAAAUAGUAAAAAAGAGAAGGCAACCAGAAAGAAAAGAGAGAAGAGGCAAAGAGACAUACACAAAAAGAGACCAAGUAGAAGAAGAAGGAAACAAGAAGAAGCAACUUGAACCAUCAUCUUUUUCACCCACACAUAAAGUUGAUAAAAAAGGUUUGUGCUAUACUUUUAUGUAUUUGUUUUUGCUGUCAUUUACAUCAUUGAAGUGUAGGAAGUGUAAGAGCUUGUUCCUUGUGGUUUGUGGUUUGAAAAUGGUGGUGGUGGUGUGCCGCCACCCACGGUGGCUGUUUGGCCAUGGGAGUCACCCACACCUCCUCACUUUUGUGCCCAUUUACUUAUAGUAUUGGUGGCAGCCUCCAUGUGCUCAGCCACGUCCAUAGGGGACAGUGGCUUCGCCGCCGCGUUCUGUGGCAGCGCCGCCAUCGCCGCCGCCGGCGCAGUUCCGGCCAUGAAAGGGGUUGCCAUGGUGGUCACCCCUAAACCCCAAAUUGAUUUUAACCUAAACCCCAAAUUGAUUUUUACUUAAACCCCAAAUUGAUUUUAACCUAAACCCUGAAUUGAUUUUAACCCUAACCCCCUAAUUUCUUCUCAUUUCUUCUUCCGUCGCCACUCUACGUAUAUGUUUUGCUAUUUUAUUAAUUAUUUGUUUUAUAAGUAUUUGUUUAUUCAAUAGUAAAGCAUAUACAUAUAUAUAAAAUACAAAGGAAACUUAUAUAAAUCAAUAAGAGAUAGUGCACUAUGACACCAGUUCUCUGUCGCAUAUUUUCUAAACUAAAUCAAUAAGGGAUAGUGCACUAUGGGACUAGUUCCGUGUCGCAUUAUCUUAAAUUGACAUUUUCUAAAUUAAAUCAAUAAGAAAAAAAAUAUAAUUUAGUCAAAUCAAACUUAAUUUUAGAAAGAACUACGUAAUUAUUUUAGAAAGAACUACGUAAUUAUUUUAGAAAGAACUACGUAAUUAUUUUAGAAAGAACUACGUAAUUAUUUUAGAAAGAACUACGUAAUUAUUUUAGAAAGAACUACGUAAUUAUUUUAGAAAGAACUACGUAAUUAUUUUAGAAAGAACUACGUAAUUAUUUUAGAAAGAACUACGUAAUUAUUUUAGAAAGAACUACGUAGUCUUAUCUCUAUAUUGCUUGCAGCUAGAGAUACGUAGGAGCAUGUCAUUCCCUGUCAGGCACAAAAAUAUUAAAAAACGUUUUUUUUUUGUCUUUCUUUAUUGUGAUUUAAUAAAACGAAGAUAAAAUUAAUAUUUUAAAUGAAUAUCCACAUUAUUAAUCUAGGUACCGUCUUUUUUAACGGACGGUGGUAUGAGGUGUUUAACACCUUCCUCAUCCGUAACCGACUCCCGAACUCAUUUAUUUGCGCAUUUCCCGUCGCCAUCCGUCGCGCCUGCAUAAGGGGGGCAGCCACCAAUACUAUAAGGAGAUGGGCACAAAAGUGAGGAGGUGUGGGUGGCUCCCAUGGCCAAACAGCCACCGUAGGUGGCGGCACACCACCACCACCCUUUUCAAACUACAAUGAACAAGCUCUUACACUUCAAUGAUAUAAAUGGCAGCAAAAACAAAUACAUAAAAGUAGAGCACAAACCUUUUUUAUCAACUUUAUGUGUGGGUGAAGAAGAUGACGGUUCAAGUUGCUUCUCCUUGCUUCCUUCUUCUUCUACUUGGCCUCUUUUGUGUAUGUCUCUUUGCCUCUUCUCUCUGGUUGCCUUCUCUUUUUUACUAUUUUUGGCUUGUAAGGGUAGUGAAAAUUAGGUUAAGUUACCUAACUUGGUUGGGCUAGGGAAAAAAAAAACCCCAUUUACCGCAACCCUUCAAGAUCUGAUUAAAAAAAAAAAUACCCUGAUCAAAAUGAGGUAUUUACAAUUCAUGACCCAAAAUCUUACUUGAUGGGAUGACGAGA
rnacentral:lncRNA from 1 species